GACGAACGCUGGCGGCGUGCUUAACACAUGCGAGUCGAACGGAAAGGCCCUGCUUUUGUGGGGUGCUCGAGUGGCGAACGGGUGAGUAACACGUGAGUAACCUGCCCUUGACUUUGGGAUAACUUCAGGAAACUGGGGCUAAUACCGGAUAGGAGCUCCUGCUGCAUGGUGGGGGUUGGAAAGUUUCGGCGGUUGGGGAUGGACUCGCGGCUUAUCAGCUUGUUGGUGGGGUAGUGGCUUACCAAGGCUUUGACGGGUAGCCGGCCUGAGAGGGUGACCGGCCACAUUGGGACUGAGAUACGGCCCGGACUCCUACGGGAGGCAGCAGUGGGGAAUAUUGCACAAUGGGCGGAAGCCUGAUGCAGCAACGCCGCGUGCGGGAUGACGGCCUUCGGGUUGUAAACCGCUUUCGCCUGUGACGAAGCGUGAGUGACGGUAAUGGGUAAAGAAGCACCGGCUAACUACGUG
rnacentral:rRNA from 1 species